UAGUCCACGCCGUAAACGAUGGACACUAGCUGUCCGUCCGCCUCAGGCGGAUGGGCGGCCAAGCGAAAGUGAUAAGUGUCCCACCUGGGGAGUACGUUCGCAAGAAUGAAACUCAAAGGAAUUGACGGGGGCCCGCACAAGCGGUGGAGCAUGUGGUUUAAUUCGAUGAUACGCGAGGAACCUUACCAGGGCUUAAAUGUAGAGUGACAGGUCCAGAGAUGGAUUUUUCUUCGGACACUUUACAAGGUGCUGCAUGGUUGUCGUCAGCUCGUGCCGUGAGGUGUCAGGUUAAGUCCUAUAACGAGCGCAACCCCUGCCGUCAGUUGCCAGCAUUUAAAGAUGGGGACUCUGACGGGACUGCCGGUGCAAACCGCGAGGAAGGUGGGGAUGACGUCAAAUCAUCACGGCCCUUACGUCCUGGGCUACACACGUGCUACAAUGGCCGGUACAGAGAGCAGCCAGUGGGCGACCACGAGCGAAUCUACAAAACCGGUCACAGUUCGGAUCGGGGU
rnacentral:rRNA from 1 species